GUUGCUGCAGCAUGGAGACAUUAUGAACAAACUGUCCAAUGAGGACAUCAGAUGGACGUCAACAGACCGUAAACAUGUGGUUCAGCCGUCUUUGAUACUGCUGAGCAGAUGGAACCCUGAGAACCUCUGAGCUCUGCUGCUUCACUCUCUGUCUUUCAGAGGGACACUGUCCUUUAAAAUCAGGAGGAGGACCCAUGGACCAGUCACUGUUCAGGGACACACAGCUGGGUCCAGGUCCAGAUGGG